rnacentral:rRNA from 1 species
GAUGAACGCCGGCGGCGUGCCUAAUACAUGCAAGUCGAGCGAACGGACGAGAAGCUUGCUUCUCUGAUGUUAGCGGCGGACGGGUGAGUAACACGUGGAUAACCUACCUAUAAGACUGGGAUAACUUCGGGAAACCGUAGCUAAUACCGGAUAAUAUUUUGAACCGCAUGGUUCAAAAGUGAAAGACGGUCUUGCUGUCACUUAUAGAUGGAUCCGCGCUGCAUUAGCUAGUUGGUAAGGUAACGGCUUACCAAGGCAACGAUGCAUAGCCGACCUGAGAGGGUGAUCGGCCACACUGGAACUGAGACACGGUCCAGACUCCUACGGGAGGCAGCAGUAGGGAAUCUUCCGCAAUGGGCGAAAGCCUGACGGAGCAACGCCGCGUGAGUGAUGAAGGUCUUCGGAUCGUAAAACUCUGUUAUUAGGGAAGUACAUAUGUGUAAGUAACUGUGCACAUCUUGACGGUACCUAAUCAGAAAGCCACGGCUAACUACGUG